UUGGCUUUUGCGAGCGCCCAAGACGAAUUUUUUCGUUCAAAGCACGAAAUUGAAAAUCCCACCCCACGAACGCAAUCUCCUCCGCCUCUUCCCAUUCCCAAAUCCCGCCGCCGCCCUCCGUUUCCCCAAUCUCACCGCCGCCGCCCUCCCUCCCACCUUCUCUUCUCUCCAUGAGAAGGCCCCGAGCGAGCCGAGAAGAUCUGCGCCGUCGUCGAGCUGGCACACAGGGGAGGUCCGGUCCCACAACUAGGCGCCGAGCUUCUCUCUCGGGACGCCGCCAUGGUGUUCUGUCCCUUCCCCACAACCGCGCAGCAGAGGAGUCCUCCGUCUGCUUCUUCUCCGAGGAUCUCCGACCCGAAACCCUAGACCGCGGGCGGCCCCAAGAACAGCAACAUCGACAUCGACACGGGUAUGGGGGCCAUGGAGAAGGGGGAGGACGGCGAUGAUGCAGUUCCAUUCCGUGUAGCUGCUCCCAGCCUGCUAGUGCCGACAUGGAAGGGAGAGGAAGGUCUCACGACAAGGCUGCGCUCGCUCAACUGCAGCGGUGACCAACUUCGAACCCAAGAUGGCGUGUAGGUUCAGCCACCUCUUGUCUCCACUGUCACUGGUGACGGCGUGGUUCGGCCUUGGCUACAAGCAUUAAAGAUGGUCAUGUUUUAUGACUGCAGCAGUGCUCGCUCGACUGCAGCGGUGAAGAGGCGGUGACCAACUUCGAGCGCAAGGUGGCGGUGUGUAGGCUCAGCCACCUCUUGUCUCCACCGUCACCAGCGAGGCGCAGUUCGGCCUCGGCUACAAACAUUAAUGAUGGUCAUGCCUUACGACUGCAGCGGUGCUUGCUCGACUGCAGCGGUGAGGAGGCGGUGACCAACUUCGAGCCCAAGGUGGCGGCGUGUAGGCUCAGCCACCUCUUGUCUCCACCGUCACCAGCGGCGAUGCAGUUUGGCCUCGGCAACAAACAUUAAUGGGAAGAAAACACACAAGGGACAUGAUUUAAGAACGUAUAUACAUUGUACAUGAUCCAAGAACACACAUCGGACGAUCUUGCAGAGAAGAAUGGAGUGAGAAUGAUUGGUUAUGGGUAGGAGGAUGAUUUCGGCCUUGGGUGGAAGAAGAUGAGUUUGACACGGAGAAACACGGCGGCGGCAGUCCGGCGAGGCGGAAGAAGACCAUGUCAGCUGUCCAGCAAGGCGGAGGAAGACCACGGUCUGAUCUGAUUCGUGUGGUUUGUGCCAUCUGGUCCGAUCUGGUCUGGUCAAGGGGACCAAGGAGAACCUGCUGCUGGUUCAAGGGCCAUGGUGCUCAACAUCACCACCAUGAAGCUUCCCCUGUUGCGCCAAGAAGACAGCCUGACCACCUACCCACCGAAGUUGAUGCAGCAGCACCUGGAGUUAAUCCCCAGGAUGAACCCAUCCCCAGUGGCAUCAUUGGCACCGACGAUGACAUCGAUGAGACCGAGCACGAGGAUAUCGUGGAGGAUGUAUCCCUCAUGGAUAUUGACAGCGCCGACUCGGGAAUCCCCUGGCAGCAACUGAGAAAUGAGCUUUGUGUGUCAUGGUGACAUGUCCACUCAAGAAGAUUUAAAUGAAAAGAGAAGUUCUGAUAGAUUGGCUCAUUGAGAAACCGUGAAACCAAUUCCUCAACAUCUUAUCACCUAUAAGGUUUUUGGCAAACCUAAGGCCCUCAUUAUGCACAUUAUGACCUGGUUGGAGGGUGGAAGGCUGUCAAUGAAGUGUACCCUUGCAUAAUAGAGUUCCUCUCUCAACGUGAUGAAGUGUCUUCUUAAACUCUCAUUAUCCGUAUACAUCAGACCUACCACACGCCAUUGCACGAUAGUCAUCUUACACUGGAACGGGAUGAUACUGUGUAAUCAUGCAGUUAUUAUCUGCUUACAUCACAAUUGUUACAUGCCAUUGCACGAUGGUUAUCCUACAUUGGAGAACCGGAUGAUACUGUGUAAUCACCAAAAGGACAAUGAAGUGGUUUGAGUUGAUGGAUGAACACUCUUUCUUAUCAUGAACAUAAUAGACAGAUUCUUGGAAAAACAAGUGGUGCCAAGGAAGAAGUUGCAGUUAAUUGGAGUGACAGCUAUGCUCCUUGCUUGCAAAUAUGAGGAAGUCCCAGUUCCACUUGUUGAAGAUCUAGUGGUCUCUUCAAAGAAUUAUCAAAUUUAUUGUUCGGCUACUCAGGUAUGGUGGACUACCUCUUCCUCGGCCACUACCUCAGCCUCUUCCUCAGUUCUGAUCUGGUCCAUGUCUUCUCCAAGCUGCCACAUGAUCUCAACUUCAUGUCCACACGGAGAAACAUUAAUUGGAUUGAAGGAAGGUUUCAGAUGGCGAAGCCGGUCAUCAUCGACCCGGGACUCUACAUGAAGAAGAACAUUGCCGGAGCGUGCCAACAUCCUUCAAGCUCUUCUCCGAUUAUAUGGUUGAGAAGCCCAGCGUCGACAAGAGCGUCAGCCUUAAGCUCUGCAUCCUCCUUUACAAGCAGUACGGAACCAUCAUGUCACCAUGGCUGACCGUCGGGCCCCAAUUCGACUAGACUACCAUACACAUAUUGAUCAUUUUAGAUAAAUGAGCUAGGAUGGCUGGAGAGUACCCCUCAGGAACUGGAGGGGAUACUGGAGACCGUGAACCCGCAGUCGCCAUCACUUGAAGUUUGAUCUUCGAGAGGGCGGAGUGAUCCCGAACGAGAAGACUGCCAGUGUGAACUUAGGGUGCACGUCAAUGGAUGUGCUGAUGCUGGCCGUGGCCUCAUGUGCUCGUGCGGCUGGAGGCUCUGUGGCCCCUCCCUUGAGCCUCUCCUUCGGUUUCUGUUAUGUGGCAUCGUCUACAACUCUGAUGGGACCUGACUUCAUGGUGAGGAUGGUGCUGGAGGAACUGGUGGGGAUACUGGAGACCGUUGACCCGCAGCAGCCAUCGCUUGAAGCUUGAUCUUCCAGAUGGUGGAGCGAUCCCGAAUGAGAAGACUACCAGCGUGAACUUGGGGUGCACAGUGUCAAUGGAUGUGGUGAUGCUGGCCGUGGCCUCAUGUGCUCGUGUGGUUGGAGGCUCUGUGGGCCCCUUGAGCCUCUCCUCCGGCUUCUGUUAUUUUGGCUCCUCCUGCCGUGUGAUGUUUGGCAUCGUCUACAAGUCUGAUGGGAGAUCAAAGCUGAAUGGGAAAAAACCGGCAAGUCACAGGCUGAGGGAGGGGAAGUCGAUACACGCCACGUGUAGAUGUGAUAUUGGAUGAUGGAUAUGUGUUAUCAUAUCGAUCAAAUUGUCUCCUGUUUGGUGUUGACUGAAGAAGAGGACAGUUUCUAUGAGGUGCAACCAUGGAUAUCACCAUGAUUCUGCUUGAUGCCAAGGACUAGGACGCCGACAUACGGUCUGCAUCAGAAGGUGUUGAUUGAUCUUUCCGGCUCCCCGAUGGGUGAUGAGCUUUCUGGGCUGUCUAGGAAAAUCCCUAUUUAAUUGGUCACCCCCACGAGUGAAGAGCGGAUCCUCUUUGCUGCAAUCUUCAGUACUUAUUGGAAUUAGAAGCAGUGUUUCCCCUUGGUGAUUGCCUCUUUGAAGGGCAUGAUCGAGCUGCUGCGGUUGUUGUUUGUUUUGCUCGUUCCUGGGACGAUGCAUAUGUUUUUGGAGAAAUAGUGUGGUUUUUCCAUUUCUAUUUUAUUAUGGACGUGCGGAUCAAUCUAUUUAUCAGCCAAUGAGUGUAUGUAGGCUGAUGAGAAUUAUUGGCUGACAUGUUGCUAUGCAUUUGAAAGAUGAAAUCAAACCAA